rnacentral:rRNA from 1 species
UGAAGCUGGAAUCGCUAGUAAUCGCGGAUCAGAAUGCCGCGGUGAAUACGUUCCCGGGUCUUGUACACACCGCCCGUCACACCAUGGGAGUCGGAAAUGCCCGAAGUCUGUGACCCAACCUACGGGAGGGAGCAGCCGAAGGCAGGUCGGAUGACUGGGGUGAAGUCGUAACAAGGUACC